rnacentral:rRNA from 1 species
AUUGAACGCUGGCGGCAGGCCUAACACAUGCAAGUCGAGCGGAUGAGGGAAGCUUGCUUCCCGAUUUAGCGGCGGACGGGUGAGUAAUGCCUAGGAAUCUGCCUAUUAGUGGGGGAUAACGUUCCGAAAGGAACGCUAAUACCGCAUACGUCCUACGGGAGAAAGUGGGGGAUCUUCGGACCUCACGCUAAUAGAUGAGCCUAGUUCGGAUUAGCUAGUUGGUGAGGUAACGGCUCACCAAGGCGACGAUCCGUAGCUGGUCUGAGAGGAUGAUCAGCCACACUGGAACUGAGACACGGUCCAGACUCCUACGGGAGGCAGCAGUGGGGAAUAUUGGACAAUGGGCGAAAGCCUGAUCCAGCCAUGCCGCGUGUGUGAAGAAGGUCUUCGGAUUGUAAAGCACUUUAAGUUGGGAGGAAGAGUUGUAAGCUAAUAUCUUGCAGCUUUGACGUUACCAACAGAAUAAGCACCGGCUAACUCUGUGCCAGCAGCCGCAGUAAAAC